GCACUGGCAUACACACACAUACACUGGCAUUCAUACACUGGCAUACAUACACAUACACUGGCAUCCACACACUGGCAUACAUACACACAUACACUGGCUUUCAUACACACAUACACUGGCAUACACACACUGGCAUUCAUACACCGGCAUACACACUGGCACACACAUACACUGGCAUUCAGACACUGGCAUUCAGACACUGGCAUACACACACAUACACUGGCAUUCAUACACCAGCAUACACACACACAUACACUGGCAUACACACACUGGCAUUCAUACACUGGCAUACACACACAUACACUGGCAUUCAGACACUGGCAUUCAGACAC